UCUGGUUUCCGCCUGCCUGUGUGGGAUGCUGAGCUGAUGAUGCCGAAGCUGUGGGUACCACUUUAAAAGAGACGGAUGCAGACCACGCCCUUUCUUUACUCGCCGAUAGAGGGCGCUGUGGCGACCAAAGCUGGCCGAUCAGCAGCAGCUUUAUCUCACUGCCCUUCCAGCAGCAUCUCACCUUCAACCGGCCAGACGCACAUCCACCGCCGCACCCGAAGAGGAAAAGAAAAAACACAAGAGUGAAAGACAGCGUCAAAUAAACCAACCAGGAAAACCGAGUAACAUCAGUGUCUGUUGUUUUAAUGAUGUAGGGGAUCGUUUCGCGGUUUGACAUCUAAUUUAGCCUGCACGCCUCACUGCGACAAGGAAUCACUGUCCAGCUGCGCAUAAAUAAACUGCAGCCUGUCUCAGCUUGUCGGGAUAAAACCGUCCAACCUCUCCACCGCCCCCAGAGUCCUCUCGACGAAGAAGGACGAAGUCACUGCGCAUCCCUUGUCGUUUAUUUUGACGGUCAGAUCAGGCCCCGAUCAGCGACUGGUCGCCUCAGCAUCAUCUUUCCUCUCAGCAGAAAGCAGCAUCCUUCCUCCUCCUUGAAUCUGCGCCAUGGCCGAUGUUCCAGCGGAGUGCAACAUAAAAGUGCUGUGUCGCUUUCGCCCUCUCAACCAGUCGGAGAUUUUACGCGGGGAUCAGUUUCUCCCCAAAUUCCAAGGAGACGACACUGUCGUCGUCGGGGGGAAGUCCUACUCGUUUGAUCGAGUGUUUCCGACCAACACCACCCAGGAGCAGGUGUACAACACCUGCGCCAAGCAGAUUGUCAAGGAUGUUCUGUUUGGAUACAAUGGCACUAUCUUUGCAUAUGGACAAACCUCCUCUGGGAAGACGCACACCAUGGAGGGCAAGCUGCAUGACCCUCACCAGAUGGGAAUUAUUCCUCGCAUCGCUGAGGACAUUUUCAAUCACAUCUUUGCCAUGGAUGAAAACCUUGAAUUCCACAUCAAGGUUUCAUACUUUGAAAUCUACAUGGAUAAAAUCCGUGACCUUCUGGAUGUGACAAAGACCAACCUGUCUGUCCAUGAGGAUAAGAAUAGGGUGCCAUAUGUCAAGGGAUGCACUGAGCGUUUUGUCUCCAGCCCUGAUGAGGUUAUGGAUGUGAUCGACGAGGGCAAAGCUAACCGCCAUGUUGCUGUGACCAACAUGAACGAGCACAGUUCUCGCAGCCACAGCAUCUUCCUGAUCAACAUCAAACAGGAGCAUGUGGAGACUGAGCAGAAACUGUGUGGAAAACUGUACCUGGUAGAUCUGGCUGGCAGUGAGAAGGUCAGUAAGACUGGAGCUGCAGGAGCCGUCCUGGAUGAGGCUAAAAACAUCAACAAGUCUCUUUCUGCUCUGGGAAAUGUCAUCUCUGCCUUGGCCGAGGGCACGAAAAGUCACGUGCCUUACCGUGACAGCAAAAUGACCCGCAUCCUGCAGGAUUCCCUCGGUGGAAACUGUCGCACCACCAUGUUCAUCUGCUGCUCUCCCUCCAGCUACAACGAUGCAGAGACCAAGUCAACUCUGAUGUUUGGACAACGUGCCAAGACCAUCAGGAACACCGCCUCCAUCAACCUGGAGCUGACGGCAGAGCAGUGGAAGAGGAAGUACGAGAAGGAGAAGGAGAAGAAUAAGACUCUGAAGGACACCAUCCAGAAGCUGGAGACUGAGCUCAACCGCUGGAGAAAUGUGCCUUCAUCCCUCCGCUCAGGAGAGGACGUGCCUGAGACGGAGCAGACCACGUCGGAUAUGGUGACCCGUUUCGAGACUGUGGAGGAGCGCCCCGUUUUGGACAACGACACCUCCUCCAUUGUGGUCCGCAUUUCUGAGGAGGAGCGGCAGAAGUACGAGGAGGAGAUCCGCAAGCUGUACAAGCAGCUGGAUGACAAGGAUGAUGAGAUCAACCUGCAGUGCCAGUUGGUGGAGAAACUGAAGCAGCAGAUGCUGGACCAGGAUGAGCUCCUGGCCUCAUCCAAGGGCGAUGGGGACAAGGUCCAGGCUGAACUCGGCAGGCUGCAGGUGGAGAGCGACUGCGCCAAGGCUGAGGUGAAGGAGGUGCUGCAGGCUCUGGAGGAGCUGGCCAUCAACUACGACCAGAAGAGCCAGGAGGUGGAGGAGAAAGGACUGCAGAACCAGCUGCUGGCCGACCAACUGUCCCAGAAAAUGGCCAGUCUGAUGGAGCUGGAGGCAGAGCUGUCUCGUAUGCAGGAAGUGAGCAGUCAGCAGAGGAAACGCAUUGCUGAUGUCCUCAAUGGUCUGAUGAGGGACCUCAGCGAGUUCAGCACCAUCGUGGGCAACGGGGAGAUCAAGCUGCCAGUGGAGAUUAGCGGUGCGAUCGAGGAGGAGUUCACGGUGGCUCGCCUCUACAUCAGCAAGAUCAAGUCGGAGGUGAAGAGCAUGGUGAAGCGCUGCCGCCAGCUGGAGAACAUGCAGCUGGAGUGCCACCGCAAGAUGGAGGAGACCGGGAGGGAGCUCUCCUCCUGCCAGCUCCUCAUCUCUCAGCAUGAAGCUAAGAUCCGCUCUCUGACUGAGUACAUGCAGAGCGUGGAGCAGAAGAAGAGGCUGCUGGAGGAGAGCCACGACUCCCUGAGCGAAGAGCUGGCCAAGCUGCAAGACCAGGAUAACUCCCUGCUUGAAGAAAAGGAUGGAGAGAAGGGUGAGACUGAGGAUGGAAAUGUGAAGAAGGCUCCUCAUCAGCAGGGGGAGUCUCACCGUGGCCUCCAUCACAAGCAGCUGGCCCGCCUGCGGGAUGAGAUCAAUGAGAAGCAGAGGAUCAUUGACGAGCUCACUGAUCGUAACUCCAAGCUGGAGCUCGAGCUGGCUCAGGUUCGCGCUGACUUUGAACGUCUGAAGAGUCAGGACAACACCAAGACUGAGCGCCUGGAGGAGCUCUCAUUCCUGCAUGAGCGCCAUGAGCAGACUAAACAGGACUUGAAGGGUCUGGAGGAGACUGUUGCCCGCGAACUCCAGACCCUCCACAACCUGCGCAAGCUGUUCGUUCAAGACCUCACGUCGCGGGUUAAAAAAAGUUCCGAAAUGGAACCUGAUGAUAGCGGGGGGUCUUGCACCCAGAAGCAGAAGAUUUCCUUUCUUGAGAAUAACUUGGACCAACUUACAAAGGUUCACAAACAGCUGGUUCGUGACAAUGCAGAUCUGCGUUGUGAGCUUCCAAAGUUGGAGAAACGUCUUAGGUCUACUGCUGAGAGAGUUAAGGCCCUGGAGACUGCAUUGAGGGAUGCUAAGGAGGGUGCAAUGAUGGACCGCAGGCGCUACCAGCAGGAGGUUGACCGCAUCAAGGACGCCAUGAAGGCAAAGAGCGCCUUGAGACGCCCCCAUGCAGCACAGAUUGCCAAACCAGUGAGACCGAAGCAGCUGCCCGUCUGCUCUCCCACCAACCCAUUCUACACUUACAUCCGUGCCACUGAACAGGCCAACACCUACAGCAACGUCCUCUUCCAGAGCAACAUGACACAGCCGAGCUCUGCCAGCGUCAACUGCAACCCCAACUCUGUCCAGAGCAACACAGUUUCCACAGCACUGGGCUACAGAGCAGGCAGAUAUAAUGGAGACAUACUGGAGUCCUACCCGCUCAACAUUGACAACGGUAACAGCAUCAGUGAAACGAGAGACAUCAAUGACAACAGUUUGGCUUAACAGGAGUGAUGUUCACUGUGGCAGUGAGGUGGAUGAUUCAAAAAGGCACUACAUCAUUCAGCAGGAGACCGCUGCAAGUUAAUGCCAUGCAGAUGACCAAACACUGUACCCGUCCAAGGACCCGCCUCUCCCAUCUGCAUGCAGCCUGUCUCCCCGUCCUUCCAUUGCAUCACUGAUGAAGAUGAUGAUGAAGAUCUGUAGCCCCUGUAGUCUUCUAAUUAGAUGAAGCCUCUCCUGCUCCUAUGGUGACCACUCUCACCCUCAGGUUUAGGGUCCAGUCCCUUCCAGUUCAAUCAGUACAGGAAGUAAAUGAAAUCAGAUUUUUUUUUUAAUACAGAACUUUUGCUUAAUCAAUUCACCAAUCCUUCAGCCAAUAAAUUUGUCAUCAGAUAUCACUGAUGCUGAUUACCUCCUGAGGUGGUUGAACUGAAAUGGGGCUGACUCCAUCCCUGAUUAUUUAGUACACACAUGUUGUAAAUAAUAGUGCUGUAUACUCCAGUAGAGGUUUUUGACCAGCAACUGUUUGUGUGAAUGCACAGCCUCCACCGUCCCCCGCACACAUCUUCUUAAGGGCAUCAUGUGGUUGACAAACUGUAGGCAGACAUGACCUUUUUCUCUGUCGUAAAUAAGAGUAUAGUGUGUAACGCCAGCUUGUAACAGAAGACCCACACUCUGCAUGCAUGUCGCUUAGCGGGUUAGCUUUCAAACCUUUGCAUGUGUCCUGAUUCAUGUCAGGAGCUGGUAUGCUGCGAGUGAACCGUCUGAUCGACUUUGACACAUGUCACACAGAGAAAGAGAGAGCUGGUGUCCCUUAAUCCUGAUCCUGGUUUCAGUGCUUUAGAUUUUCUAUUAUAGUAAGUAAAACUGGGCUGUUGUGCUAAUGUGGCUUAAACACAGGAAAAACGACAAAAAAACACAUCUGGGUCUAUUUUUAAUUUAAUAGAAGAGGACAUAAGAGGCAACAUGUGUCAGGGAAACCCAGCCCAGACCUGCAGUCUGUAUCGAGGAAACCUUUUGUAUUUGCUUUGAUACUGUGAUGUUGCAGCUGUAUGAUGCCAUUCUACAUUUCAGGUAAUGCUGUCCAUGUCCAUUUAAUGUGGCUCCCUCCCUGCAUUGCACCCACACGAGUCUUCAUACCGAGCCUUAACAAGAGCUGAUUUCUCAUUAUCAAACUAACACACUGUCAUAUGUAUACAUUUGUAAUUACUACCUCUAGAGCUACUCAAUAUACACCUAACACAAUAUACUAUACACCAAUAGCUGUAAUCAGAUUUAAAUGCUCUUAUCAGAGCAGUAGUUAUGUUUUCCUGAAGUUCAUUCAUAUACAGAAGGAAUCUGUGUAUGUCCAUCGUCAUGUUUAACAGAAUCAAAGCUGCGCUGAAAAAGUGCUUGCAAAAAUGUUCUACUGCAGCAGAGUACCAGAAAGUGUGGUUUCACCACAUCUGGGCAGGUCAGACAGUGUCAAGUUCAUUGUCAAAAGAGAAGUAUAUUACACUGAUAUUAAAAUAUUUUCUUAAACUUUCUGAUGCAUUUUCCUAUUUGGCACCUAGUAAGGCUGGAAUUAUGAGACCUGCUUUGUCUCCUAAUAUAAAGUUACACUAUUGACAUACUUCCCCUACAUUAUCAAAAUUUUUAUUUUAAAACAGACGUGAAGUAACAUCUCAAGCCCCUUUAAGGCUAUAUGGAAGUUAUUCAGUGAUUCAGUGCUUUUUAAUCAGAGCCAUCAAAAAUCCAGUGAUUAGGGAGUGUCUGCAAACGAGUCCCCAACUGAGCAGCCACCAGUCUGGGAUGGACGGACUGUUUGACAGAAGCUUGUUGUUUGUAGCUUGUUGUCAGGUCAUGCUGUUAUUCUUCUGUGAGAAAUCCUGACCAGCCAAUCAGGAUAGAAGAAAGCAGCAUGUCUUAGGUGGGUGACGAAGAGAUGGAUUUGUUUGGACUGAGCUGAGUCACUGAAUUAAAGGACAGAUUAGACCAGAAGUGUGUCAUUCUUAAAGGAAACAUGCAUAACAACCAAAUAGCUUUUGCAAGAAAAUGAGCGUAUAAGUGAUAUAAGUAUAAGUGAGAGAAAGAGUUCAUUUUGAUUUCUAUUUCUAUUUUAUGUUUACACUUUGACCAGACUUAUUUGAUCACAGCUGACUCUGAUCUGAUUUUUCAGAGUUUGAUUGAGCAUCCAUCUAUUAAUAUUUGCAUAACAAAAUCUUCAAUUUUAUACUGAAAAAUGUUUCUCUAUGUAAAUUUCAGUGUAUUACAUCGCAUGACUGGACUUAGCCCAAUAUAGGACCCCAAUAUGUAAAGUGAAGGACCCUCCCCAGUCAUCUGAUCCCUAGCAGCAUCCUUAGCACCGCUCUGUCUCAUGCUCUUACUGGCAUUAACAACAUCUCAGGGCUUCACAAUCACAAUCACAGCCACCAUAGGCCACCACCACUGUCUUCCUCAAAGACUUAAAACCAUGUGAUUGCUGAUGAACAAUCAGGUCAGUGUGUGUUCUUCGAGGCUUAGCAGAUGAAGGGGAUGAUAAAUCUAACAUUACAGAAAUAACAUCACUUUAUACAUAGUAUAUAACAUCUCCAUUGUAUCACAUGACAUCCAAAAUGAAAAAAUCCCUCAGCUGCACCUGGUCAGACCCUACUGUAUGUGUCCAAGCAGACCCUCUAUUUGACAUCAUGUUUUAAGUAUAAUAAAUAGGUUUGAAGGAGGGGGAAAUGUGUACUAUAUUGUCACCUGCUGUUCCACUGUCUGAUUUCAACAUAUCUAAAAUACAUGUGCUAUAUAUUGUUAAUCUUGUAAGUAAAAUAGCGUGCCAUGACAUAGUAAAAUGCAAAAGAACGGUACACGCUAACUUUGUUCAGAGAAAUGUUUGUUUUAUUUAUUUCUGUACGCCUAUACUGUAGCGUCAACAUGAUUAUGUGAAGAAUCACCGUGCAAAAUUUCUGUAUAUAUAGACUCCUCACUAUGCUGUAUUGUAAGUGAACCAUUGUGUUGUAGUAAAAAGUUCAAUAAACUUGUAGAAAGGA